UAACGAAUCUUCCGCAAUGCGCGAAAGCGUGACGGGGCAAUGCCGCGUGUGGGAUGAAGCCCUUCGGGGUGUAAACCACUGUCAGGGUUUAGGAAACAAAUGACCAUACCCAAAGGAAGCACCGGCUAACUCUGUGCCAGCAGCCGCGGUAAUACAGAGGGUGCAAGCGUUAAUCGGAAUCACUGGGCUUAAAGCGUUCGUAGGCGGGCUUGAAGGCGCCUUGUGAAAUCCCCCGGCUCAACCGGGGAAUUGCUCGGCGAACCGCAGGCCUUGAGUCAAGUAGAGGCACCUGGAACGAUAGGUGGAGCGGUGAAAUGCGUAGAUAUCUAUCGGAACGCCAAAUGUGAAGACAGGGUGCUGGGCUUGUACUGACGCUGAGGAACGAAAGCGUGGGGAGCAA
rnacentral:rRNA from 1 species